rnacentral:rRNA from 1 species
GAUGAACGCUGGCGGCGUGCCUAAUACAUGCAAGUCGAGCGAACAGAUGAGGAGCUUGCUCCUCUGACGUUAGCGGCGGACGGGUGAGUAACACGUGGAUAACCUACCUAUAAGACUGGGAUAACUUCGGGAAACCGGAGCUAAUACCGGAUAAUAUAUUGAACCGCAUGGUUCAAUAGUGAAAGACGGUUUUGCUGUCACUUAUAGAUGGAUCCGCGCCACAUUAGCUAGUUGGUAAGGUAACGGCUUACCAAGGCAACGAUGCGUAGCCGACCUGAGAGGGUGAUCGGUCACACUGGAACUGAGACACGGUCCAGACUCCUACGGGAGGCAGCAGUAGGGAAUCUUCCGCAAUGGGCGAAAGCCUGACGGAGCAACGCCGCGUGAGUGAUGAAGGUCUUCGGAUCGUAAAACUCUGUUAUUAGGGAAGAACAAAUGUGUAAGUAACUAUGCACGUCUUGACGGUACCUAAUCAGAAAGCCACGGCUAACUACGUG